rnacentral:lncRNA from 1 species
UGAUAUUGCAGAGGGAAACAAGCCUCCAGAAGAUGGAGAUCUUAUUCCUGGCUUCAACGUUGCUCAAAAAGCUCUCAUAUACAUCCCUUCACAAUGUGGGCUUCAUUUCUUGUGGGAAACUGAAGAACGUGGGCUUGGCAUUUCCCAGAGAUGCUUGUGUGUACCUGGCAAUCGCGUUUAAGAGUGUGAGUUUUUACAGAGUAUGGAAUUGGUGGACUGCAUGUAUCACUUCAAGCUGCCUGCAAGUUAUUCAAGGUAAACUAAUUAAAUGAUUCUACAUUGGAAAUAUUUGACAUUGACACAUAUACAAUUACCC